rnacentral:rRNA from 1 species
GGGGAAUAUUGGACAAUGGGCGAAAGCCUGAUCCAGCAAUGCCGCGUGAGUGAUGAAGGCCUUAGGGUUGUAAAGCUCUUUUACCCGGGAAGAUAAUGACUGUACCGGGAGAAUAAGCCCCGGCUAACUCCGUGCCAGCAGCCGCGGUAAUACGGAGGGGGCUAGCGUUGUUCGGAAUUACUGGGCGUAAAGCGCACGUAGGCGGAUCGUUAAGUGAGGGGUGAAAUCCCAGGGCUCAACCCUGGAACUGCCUUUCAUACUGGCGAUCUCGAGUCCGGAAGAGGUGAGUGGAACUCCUAGUGUAGAGGUGGAAUUCGUAGAUAUUAGGAAGAACACCAGUGGCGAAGGCGGCUCACUGGUCCGGUACUGACGCUGAGGUGCGAAAGCGUGGGGAGCAAAC